UUUAUGGAGAGUUUGAUCCUGGCUCAGGAUGAACGCUGGCGGCGUGCCUAAUACAUGCAAGUCGAGCGAACGGACGAGAAGCUUGCUUCUCUGAUGUUAGCGGCGGACGGGUGAGUAACACGUGGAUAACCUACCUAUAAGACUGGGAUAACUUCGGGAAACCGGAGCUAAUACCGGAUAAUAUUUUGAACCGCAUGGUUCAAAAGUGAAAGACGGUCUUGCUGUCACUUAUAGAUGGAUCCGCGCUGCAUUAGCUAGUUGGUAAGGUAACGGCUUACCAAGGCAACGAUGCAUAGCCGACCUGAGAGGGUGAUCGGCCACACUGGAACUGAGACACGGUCCAGACUCCUACGGGAGGCAGCAGUAGGGAAUCUUCCGCAAUGGGCGAAAGCCUGACGGAGCAACGCCGCGUGAGUGAUGAAGGUCUUCGGAUCGUAAAACUCUGUUAUUAGGGAAGAACAUAUGUGUAAGUAACUGUGCACAUCUUGACGGUACCUAAUCAGAAAGCCACGGCUAACUACGUGCCAGCAGCCGCGGUAAUACGUAGGUGGCAAGCGUUAUCCGGAAUUAUUGGGCGUAAAGCGCGCGUAGGCGGUUUUUUAAGUCUGAUGUGAAAGCCCACGGCUCAACCGUGGAGGGUCAUUGGAAACUGGAAAACUUGAGUGCAGAAGAGGAAAGUGGAAUUCCAUGUGUAGCGGUGAAAUGCGCAGAGAUAUGGAGGAACACCAGUGGCGAAGGCGACUUUCUGGUCUGUAACUGACGCUGAUGUGCGAAAGCGUGGGGAUCAAACAGGAUUAGAUACCCUGGUAGUCCACGCCGUAAACGAUGAGUGCUAAGUGUUAGGGGGUUUCCGCCCCUUAGUGCUGCAGCUAACGCAUU
rnacentral:rRNA from 1 species